UCUUUUUUUUGUGUGCCAGCCGCCGCGGUAAUACGUAUGGAGCAAGCGUUAUCCGGAUUUACUGGGUGUAAAGGGUGCGUAGGUGGCAGUGCAAGUCAGAUGUGAAAGGCCGGGGCUCAACCUCGGAGCUGCAUUUGAAACUGCUCGGCUAGAGUACAGGAGAGGCAGGCGGAAUUCCUAGUGUAGCGGUGAAAUGCGUAGAUAUUAGGAGGAACACCAGUGGCGAAGGCGGCCUGCUGGACUGUUACUGACACUGAGGCACGAAAGCGUGGGGAGCAAACAGG
rnacentral:rRNA from 1 species